CUAAAUAUUAAUCUCUAGAAAAAAUAAAAAGACCAAAAAGAUGUAUGAUGGAAAUGAUGAAUAGUUGCUCUGUUUGCUUACUUUCAAGUACCUAGCUUUUAUAUUAGAGUUCUUCCAGGAAUUACUAAAACUUAAUUUACUAUGUAUGGAAAGCAUAAAACUAAAGUCUAGGUAAGAGAAAGGCAUAAUAUAGAGUUUGAGCUGUUGUUUAUCUUGUUCCUACUACACUAAGUUCUGGAGAUUUAUUUUGAAAACUUACAAAUCACAUGAUGAGUUCCUAGCAUUACAAACUACCUACCACAGCCAUACUUGCUAUAACAUCUUUUACUAUUUACAUUGAGUUUGAUCGAGCUGUGUAGACCCUUAGGAGCUUUUCAUGUGGUUAAAUUAAGACAUUCACUUGCACACAUCUACCUCACCAUCCACCACCAUUUAUUAAAAUUGCUAAAAAUAAUAUUAUCACUCACUGUCCCAAGUAUUGUUAUUCUCUCUCUCUAAAAAGAUUCAAUGCAGAAGAGGCAUGGGUUAUGCAAAAAUAUACGAGGAAAUAAAAAAGGGCAAGUGCCCGGAACCUCGGAAAAGAAAGAAAAAGAGUGAGACGAGAGGUAAAAAUGGACAAGUGUCCGAAGUAGAAUUAGAGGUACAAAGAUACCCACUUG
rnacentral:lncRNA from 1 species